rnacentral:rRNA from 1 species
UACGAGGGGGGCAAGCGUUGUUCGGAAUUAUUGGGCGUAAAGGGCGCGUAGGCGGUUUGACAAGUCUGAUGUGAAAAUCCGGGGCUCAACCCCGGACUUGCAGUGGGUACGGGCAGACUAGAGUGUGGUAGGGGAGACUGGAAUUCCUGGUGUAGCGGUGGAAUGCGCAGAUAUCAGGAGGAACACCGAUGGCGAAGGCAGGUCUCUGGGCCACUACUGACGCUGAGAAGCGAAAGCAUGGGGAGCGAACAGG